GCAUAUCAAUAAGCGGAGGAAAAGAAACUAACGAAGGAUUCCCCUAGUAAACUGCGAGUGAAGCGGGAAAAGCUCAAAUUUAAAAUCCGUCCCCCCGACGGAGUUGUAAUCUAGAGAAGUGUUUUCGGCCGUUGACUUGGACAAGUCCCCUGGAACAGGGCGUCAUAGAGGGUGAUAAUCCCGUACUUACCAAGAUCCCAACGUCUAUGUGAUACACUCUCGAAGAGUCGAGUUGUUUGGGAAUGCAGCUCAAAAUGGGUGGUAAAUUCCAUCUAAAGCUAAAUAUUGGCGAGAGACCGAUAGCGAACAAGUACCGUGAGGGAAAGAUGAAAAGCACUUUGGAAAGAGAGUUAAACAGUACGUGAAAUUGCUAAAAGGGAAGCGCUUGAAGUCAGUCGCGUUUAAUGAGACUCAGCCUCACGGUGUAUUUCUCUUGAACGGGCCAACAUCGAUUUUGGGCGCGGGAAAAGGGUUUGGGGAAGGUGGCAACCUCGGUUGUGUUAUAGCCCCUUACCGUACACCGCGCCUGGGAUCGAGGACCGCGGCUUUGCCUAGGAUGUUGGCGUAAUGGCUUUAAGCGACCCGUCUUGAAACACGGACCAAGGAGUCUAACAUGUCUGCGAGUGUUUGGGUGUCAAACCCAUGCGCGUAAUGAAAGUAAAUGUAGGUGGGAGGCUUCGGCCGCACCAUCGACCGAUCCGGAUCUCUUGUGAUGGAUUUGAGUAAGAGCAUAUAUGUUGGGACCCGAAAGAUGGUGAACUAUGCCUGAAUAGGGCGAAGCCAGAGGAAACUCUGGUGGAGGCUCGUAGCGAUUCUGACGUGCAAAUCGAUCGUCAAAUUUGGGUAUAGGGGCGAAAGACUAAUCGAACCAUCUAGUAGCUGGUUCCUGCCGA
rnacentral:rRNA from 1 species